UUUAGUGCACAAUGACGACCAAGUCAGCAUUGCUAGUUGUGAGUCUUGUGGGACCAUGUUACUGCCUAUUACUACCCCACUCACCAUUAAAAACAGUUAACGUCACCACUAGCUUACCCCAAGUAGCAAGGCAGGUUCCUAUCUCACUUCUAACCAUCACGUUCCAAGCCUACUAUUAGCAUAAUGAAUGCACCUCCCUGUAGCUAGACAAAUGCCUUUUUUAUAACCACAGUGGUAGACCCUGGCUUUUAUCUUCUGAUCAUAGGGGUUCAGCACUUUCAGCCCCGAUGGACAUUGGGGUUUAGCUAGAGGCCAGACUAGUGUUUAUAGUCUGCCUAUUAAAAUGUAACUUCCCCUGGAAGGUACUGCCUUAUUUAAAACAACCAGUAACUCUUCUCAACUCCAACCAUUUCUGAUAUUAAAGCGGCAGAGGGAGACAGCUUGGGGAACUGUGCGUUUAAGCGCUGUGAGCUGUUGUCAUGGUGACAGGCAAUGAGCCAGAAAGCUGCGGAGGACACGCGAGCCUUUCUCUUCCUCUCCCCUCUUCCCAGCUCGUGGCAAAGCAGCUCUAGCACAGUCCUGCUGCCGCCGUCUGAAUUUACCUGUCCUCCCUUCUCCCUGCACCAUCUCUUGCUCCAUUCCUCCCCAGCCCUCACAACAGGAGCAGCACGGUCGGUCCUACUUUGCCCGGAAGACAGUGCUCUGUGCCUUCUGGAAACCUCUGCUUUAGCCAAAAGCUUACCUGCGCACAAACAUGAAUCGCAGGGGAGGGGGAAGAGGAGACGAUGUGACAGAGGCAAAAUAAUCUUUGAAAGAUGCCACUUUCAAAGUUUGACGAAUGUUUUCUGGAAACAAGGGAUGACCUGCUAAAGUUACAGGAGAGUAAGUUUCCUUCACUUUUUACUAAUUAGAACUGCUUGUCUUAGAACAGCUAAGAAGUCUUAUGUCUCUUAAGAAGAAAAUCUAGAUUGGCUUGUCCCUGAGCUAUCGCAGAUGCACACUGCAGCAAGAACACGCUGCGGGAGAUGAUACCAUCCACCCAGUCGCUUCAGUCUUAUGACAGCACAGUGUCUUGGGGUCAGCUCCUCUUGAAAUUCAUUAGCAUUUUACGUUGCCUACAAAGCUGUUGUUUUAUAGUCCGUAUGAAACCAGCUUCAGAGUUUGGAGUUUAACCGGUACCUCUGCUGUGCUCCUGGUUUCCCAAGGCAACAGCUCACUUGGCUGCUCUUUAGCUUCCAUCUCCGUGGGCUGGAGAUUUCCUUUUCCUCCAAACCAAGUUACAUGUCUGUGCUCUUCCAGUUCACCUUGGCUAACCCAGGAAGUCAGAGCUUAGGUUGGCAUUUGCUGGUCCUGCUCUCCUUUUAGAAGAAUGAGUUGAUCCUCCUACCACCUGCAGUAUCUCCUGCUUCUCAGGAAGCACAUCAGUAUCUGAAGACGGGAGCAUACUAAUAAAAACAUGCCCUGAAUAGCA
rnacentral:lncRNA from 1 species